AUUGAACGCUGGCGGCAUGCUUUACACAUGCAAGUCGAACGGUAACAGGCCGCAAGGUGCUGACGAGUGGCGAACGGGUGAGUAAUGCAUCGGAACGUGCCCAGUCGUGGGGGAUAACUACUCGAAAGAGUAGCUAAUACCGCAUACGAUCUAUGGAUGAAAGCGGGGGACCGUAAGGCCUUGCGCGAUUGGAGCGGCCGAUGUCAGAUUAGGUAGUUGGUGGGGUAAAGGCUCACCAAGCCAACGAUCUGUAGCUGGUCUGAGAGGACAACCAGCCACACUGGGACUGAGACACGGCCCAGACUCCUACGGGAGGCAGCAGUGGGGAAUUUUGGACAAUGGGCGCAAGCCUGAUCCAGCAAUGCCGCGUGCAGGAAGAAGGCCUUCGGGUUGUAAACUGCUUUUGUACGGAACGAAACGGCUCUGGUUAAUACCCGGGGCUAAUGACGGUACCGUAAGAAUAAGCACCGGCUAACUACGUG
rnacentral:rRNA from 1 species